UGUCAGUGCACAGCCCUUUCCAGCCAGGAGAGAAUAUAACGGCUCCAGCCCCCCGGGUUCCCCACAGGCACCAAGGGAGCAGUCAGCCAGCCUGUUUUAGACAUACACACUGCAUAGCCCAGCUUCUGCAAGCAGUUUUGUGGAAAUGUUUGUUCAUCCUGCGACAGCCACGUGAACCAUGGAGAGGUGGCAGGAUAUUACACGGGGCCAUAGAAACCCUGGCUGGAGGGGACACUGGCCAAACCUGCUGCUGACACCAGGCAUCUCAAUCAGGCUGCCUCUUACUCCAAGCCACCUGUGUCACUGAACAGAAGCAUUCUGGAUACAGCCCUGACUGCAGCCCAAAGCAGCUCAGCCUCUCCUGCUCAGGGAAGGCACAGCUCCUUUUCCUCCAGCUGCCAGGAGCACUGCACUGCUCAGAGAGCCACCAGCUCCAGGGGCACCGGAGAGCAGCAUCAACCAAGACUCCUUGUUCAGAAGGGAGGUCAGAUGUGUAACAAGAAACACUGAGUGGUCUGUGGUCACUGAAAGAGGCAGGAAAAUGAAGAGAAAAAACAGCCAAGGACCUCAGCCAAACUUACAACACUGAGUACAGUGUAUCCAUACCACAGACAGCACUUACCAAACCUCCUACUGAACUGUAGAUGGUGCAACAUGACUUGUGGGCUUUGGGAUUUUUGUGAUUGUUGUUGUUUUGGUUUGGUUUUAAUAUUGCAAAGGUUUCCUUUCACUUCAUCUUUCCCACAGUAAGAGCACAUGCCUGUUUUGAGGCGAGCAGUGCAAUGAGCCAGAGGACUCUGUCCCUGGCUUGUUGGUGUUCCCAAGCACUGUGGAUGGUUUGGACAGGCUUACCUAAGAGGGAGCACUGACAUCCCCUGGCACAAUCCUUCCUCCUGUUUGACCCCAGGCUUAAACAUAUCUGAAAUCUAUGUCUCAUCCAGUUCUUCUUGUAGUCCUGCAGCAGCAUCCAGGACAGUGCUCCAAGGCUGUGACAGUUGCCCUAAUAAAACAGUUGUAAAUGG